CCACAGCUAUAUGUAUAUGUACACCGAUCGAUACGAUACAUAGUAACAAUAAUACUCGUAAUAAAGCCGAGCUCUUGCAGAAGCGUUAUAUUAUCUGACGACGGGGAAUCAUUAAAAACCGUUAACGUCACAUACAAAAGACAGCUGCGCCCGCCACUGGACCGACGCGAAUAACCGAAAACGAAAUAGCAUAUGCAGGAAUGGACAGAGGAGUCAACGUCAUGUCGUCAUUUACUAAACAGCGGGAGAGAAAACAUUAAAAACUAUAGGUACCUGUGUAAUAAAAGAGGGUGUCGACGCACACUUGCACUACGCCACUACUUAUCCAUAUUACACGUGAAGAUUUCUGUAAAAAUUCGCUCAAUUAUUAAGCUUGUCGGCGCUGAGUCGUCGUACACUAUGAUGAUGAUUAUUAUUAUUAAACCUGCACGUGACGCAAUAAUUGCUUUCAGAUGCGGCGAUAUCCGAUCGAAACGAAUUAUUGUAAACCUACCUACGAUACACUAUACCGAAUAUUGCUGUCACGUACAUUUAAUUGUCAAAGAAGACCGGUGGUGCCGUUGCAUUGAAUUAUUAAUCAUCGCCUGACAUGUGGUAAUGUGAUCGCCAAACGUGAUAACGCCGCUCACCAAAUUACCUUAAUGCUCUAUGUGUAUACGACCCUGCUCGGGGUUUUAUGGACUUUGGGUGUCAACGUGCCGUACAAGGAGGGGGUGGCGGGCGGCAUGUUACAUUGUCCUAAGACCGCGAAAUGUGUGUAUACCAUACCACGGUAUAUAAACGCACACACACCUAAAUACAUAAAAAAGGCGAGUCGCUUUUAAAGUCGCCGUACGAGUGAUAAUUAAUUACAAAACCGUAUCUAUUUGUUUUAGGCAACGAAAACGAAAAACUUCAUUAAUCUAAAAUAUAUAUAUUAUACGCCGUGCUGGCUAUACAACUCGUAACAGCUGCAGUUUUCAGUAAUAAUAUUAUUAUCUUUUUUUUUUUUUUAUCAUUAUAGGAAAAAAGGCUUGAAGGUAUCUUUACCCUAUUCAUCUUAUCACGCAACUUAUUUUAACUUUAUCUUAUAAUUAAGGUUUGUGAUAGCAUUACAAUAGAAAUAUUUUAUAUUUUUUUUACUGUUAAUAACUUUUAUACCAUACCUGCGUAUAAAUUGGUAUCGACACGGAUGUUUUAGUAAUAUUAUUAUUGUGUAGUAAGUUAGCCACCGCGAGUCUGAAUAAUAGUAUGUAUA